rnacentral:rRNA from 1 species
AUUGAACGCUGGCGGCAUGCCUUACACAUGCAAGUCGAACGGCAGCACGGGAGCAAUCCUGGUGGCGAGUGGCGAACGGGUGAGUAAUAUAUCGGAACGUGCCCAGUCGUGGGGGAUAACGUAGCGAAAGCUACGCUAAUACCGCAUACGCUCUAUGGAUGAAAGCGGGGGAUCGCAAGACCUCGCGCGAUUGGAGCGGCCGAUAUCAGAUUAGGCAGUUGGUGGGGUAAAGGCUCACCAAGCCGACGAUCUGUAGCUGGUCUGAGAGGACGACCAGCCACACUGGGGCUGAGACACGGCCCAGACUCCUACGGGAGGCAGCAGUGGGGAAUUUUGGACAAUGGGCGCAAGCCUGAUCCAGCAAUGCCGCGUGCAGGAUGAAGGCCUUCGGGUUGUAAACUGCUUUUGUACGGAGCGAAAAGGCUCUCUCUAAUACAGGGGGCUCAUGACGGUACCGUAAGAAUAAGCACCGGCUAACUACGUGCCAGCAGCCGCAGUAA